CCGACCCGUGUUUACUGUACCUUAGUUGCUUCGGCGGGCCCGCCAUUCAUGGCCGCCGGGGGCUCUCAGCCCCGGGCCCGCGCCCGCCGGAGACACCACGAACUCUGUCUGAUCUAGUGAAGUCUGAGUUGAUUGUAUCGCAAUCAGUUAAAACUUUCAACAAUGGAUCUCUUGGUUCCGGCAUCGAUGAAGAACGCAGCGAAAGUGCGAUAACUAGUGUGAAUUGCAGAAUUCCGUGAAUCAUCGAGUCUUUGAACGCACAUUGCGCCCCCUGGUAUUCCGGGGGGCAUGCCUGUCCGAGCGUCAUUGCUGCCCAUCAAGCACGGCUUGUGUGUUGGGUCGUCGUCCCCUCUCCGGGGGGGACGGGCCCCAAAGGCAGCGGCGGCACCGCGUCCGAUCCUCGAGCGUAUGGGGCUUUGUCACCCGCUCUGUAGGCCCGGCCGGCGCUUGCCGAACGCAAAUCAAUCUUUUUCCAGGUUGACCUCGGAUCAGGUAGGGAUACCCGCUGAACUUAAGCAUAUCAUAG
rnacentral:rRNA from 1 species